rnacentral:rRNA from 1 species
UGGGGAAUAUUGCACAAUGGGGAAACCCGUAGCAUGCAGCGACGCCGCGUGAAGGAAGAAGUAUCUCGGUAUGUAAACUUCUAUCAGCAGGGAAGAUAAUGACGGUACCUGACUAAGAAGCCCCGGCUAACUACGUGCCAGCAGCCGCGGUAAUACGUAGGGGCAAGCGGUUAUCCGGAUUUACUGGGUGUAAAGGGAGCGUAGACGGAACAGCAAGUCUGAUGUGAAAGGCAUGGGCUCAACCUGUGGACUGCAUUGGAAACUGUUGGUCUUGAGUACCGGAGGGGUAAGCGGAAUUCCUAGUGUAGCGGUGAAAUGCGUAGAUAUUACGCAGAACUCCGAUUGCGAAGGCAGCAUACCGGCGCUCAACUGACGCUGAGGCACGAAAGCGUGGGGAUCGAACAGGAUUAGAUACC